UUUAAUGAGAGUUUGAUCCUGGCUCAGGACGAACGCUGGCGGCGUGCCUAAUACAUGCAAGUAGAACGCUGAAGUCUGGUGCUUGCACUAGACGAAUGAGUUGCGAACGGGUGAGUAACGCGUAGGUAACCUGCCUCAUAGCGGGGGAUAACUAUUGGAAACGAUAGCUAAUACCGCAUAACAGUAUUUACCGCAUGGUAGAUACUUGAAAGGAGCAAUUGCUUCACUAUGAGAUGGACCUGCGUUGUAUUAGCUAGU
rnacentral:rRNA from 1 species